CUUCUGUCCGCAAGUAAUUACAGUGACCGCUAGGCUGGAAAGCAAUCAGCUAGCCCAAGGUUCUUUUGUUCAUUUUUACAACAGGACACUUGAUAAGCCAACAAAGAGGACGAAACAGGUUACUAUCGAGCUGAUAACUCUAACUGCAGGAAAGAACAACGUUACUGAGGUGACAGCUUCACAAGGCCAAGUGAUAUAUUUCACCCUGAUUUUGAUCAGGGACGAUCGACAUGCUUCGACAUAUUCAUCGAGAAAUUCUCUGCAGCCCCUACAUCUUGUUCAAGCGGCACACCAUGCUGCAGAGGGAGGCGAGAAGGACAAAGACGACCAUCAUGAAAGUCAUGUAACAGCAGCUGGCGGUGUCUUUCAUUCUUCGGUCUGCGAAUCCUUGAGCCUAGGGUCACUACACAGUCAUCAUGUCAUUAAGGCUAUUGCACGAAGGUUGUCUUGUAAAGUGAAUAUGACAGUCAGUGAAGUUGGUUUGUCAUGAACAGCUGUUUGUUAAAUUAUUGUCCAAAAUGCAAUGUUAAGAUGUUGCUAUGCAGAUUAACUUUAGACAGU